GUACAGGACACACUGAGCAUGCUCACACCUGGACAGGUAAAUCCUGUACAGGACACACUGAGCAUGCUCACACCUGGACAGGUAAAUCCACACAGGACACACUGAGCAUGCUCACACCUGGACAGGUAAAUCCUGUACAGGACACACUGAGCAUGCUCACACCUGUACAGGUAACAAACUGAUGAUAAAAACGACUUCAACACUAAAAAAGUCAGAAAUAAAGUUUCCUGUUUGUAACCUUUACAGAGCUUCUUCUGUAUUUUAUUCUGUCCUCACUGUCCUCUGUCCUCACUGCCCUCUGUCCUCUGUCCUCCCUGUCC